GAUGAACGCUGGCGGCGUGCCUAAUACAUGCAAGUCGAGCGAACAGACGAGGAGCUUGCUCCUCUGACGUUAGCGGCGGACGGGUGAGUAACACGUGGAUAACCUACCUAUAAGACUGGGAUAACUUCGGGAAACCGGAGCUAAUACCGGAUAAUAUAUUGAACCGCAUGGUUCAAUAGUGAAAGACGGUUUUGCUGUCACUUAUAGAUGGAUCCGCACCGCAUUAGCUAGUUGGUAAGGUACCGGCUUACCAAGGCAACGAUGCGUAGCCGACCUGAGAGGGUGAUCGGCCACACUGGAACUGAGACACGGUCCAGACUCCUACGGGAGGCAGCAGUAGGGAAUCUUCUGCAAUGGGCGAAAGCCUGACGGAGCAACGCCGCGUGAGUGAUGAAGGUCUUCGGAUCGUAAAACUCUGUUAUUAGGGAAGAACAAAUGUGUAAGUAACUAUGCACGUCUUGACGGUACCUAAUCAGAAAGCCACGGCUAACUACGUG
rnacentral:rRNA from 1 species